AUACGGAGGGUGCAAGCGUUACCCGGAAUCACUGGGCGUAAAGCGCGCGCAGGCGGUCUUUUAAGUUGGAUGUGAAAGCCUACGGCUCAACCGUAGAACUGCAUCCAAAACUAUUAGACUAGAGUGUGGGAGAGGAAGAUGGAAUUAGUUGUGUAGGGGUAAAAUCCGUAGAGAUAACUAGGAAUACCAAAAGCGAAGGCAAUCUUCUGGAACACUACUGACGCUGAGGCGCGAAAGCGUGGGGAGCAAACAGGAUUAGAUACCCUAGUAGUCC
rnacentral:rRNA from 1 species